CCCAGCCGCCCUGUGCUCCGCAGCCCCAAAGCUCGGUCUUGCUCCCUCCCAGCUUCUCAAAGGUGCAGUGAGUGCCCCCCAGCCGGCAUGGUCCCCUGCGACCAGAUCGCAAGCCCGCGAUGGGUGUCAAGGACCCCUUGGGGUCUUCCCUGACACCCAAUGGGGCCUUGUGGGGUGUGCCAGGAAGCUGACAACUUGCGGUCCCACAAAGUCCGGAGGACCAAGUAUGAAGCUCUGCCACUUCGGACUCUUCCAGCCCUCUUAGGUUGUCCUGGAACCCAUCAGUUUGAUUCAAUUACAGAAAUAUUUACCUACUAAGUGCCAGGCUCUUAAAAACCUGCCAUAUACAAUUUGUAAAUCAAUGGAUGUGUAACUGAUGUGAAUCUGCAAUCUGUGUAUGGGGUGAAGGUGGGAGUUCAUAACCCACUUGAAUCAAAGUGUGGAAUAUGAUAUGUCAAGAAAUUUGUAAUGUUUUGAACAACCCACAAUAAAAAAUUAAAAAAAAAAAAAAAAAAAAAAAACCUGCCAUAUAGCUGGGUGCAAUGGCCCUGUAAAUCCCAGUGACUGGAGGCUGAGGCAGGAGAAUUGCAAGUUGGAGGCCAGCCUCAGAAUGUAGCCAGACCCUAUUUCAAAAAAGAAAAACAACAAGGGAUGUAGCUCAGUGGUAAAGCACCCCUGGGUUCAAUUCCAGUAUCGAAGCAAAAAAACAAACAAAC
rnacentral:lncRNA from 1 species